GCGGAGGAAAAGAAACCAACUGGGAUUGCCUCAGUAACGGCGAGUGAAGCGGCAACAGCUCAAAUUUGAAAUCUGGCGCCUUGGGCGUCCGAGUUGUAAUUUGUAGAGGGAGUCUCGGGUUAAGGGUCGGUCCAAGUGCCUUGGAACAGGAUACCGAAGAGGGUGAGAGUCCCGUAUCCGGCCGACGCCAGCGCCCGUGUGAGGCCCCUUCGACGAGUCGAGUUGUUUGGGAAUGCAGCUCUAAAUGGGUGGUAAAUUCCAUCUAAAGCUAAAUACUGGCCAGAGACCGAUAGCGCACAAGUAGAGUGAUCGAAAGAUGAAAAGCACUUUGAAAAGAGAGUCAAACAGUACGUGAAAUUGUUGAAAGGGAAGCGUAUGUGGGCAGACUUGGACGCUGGAUUCAGGCCGCCUUCUGGCGGGUGUAUUUUCCAGCGGACAGGCCAGCAUCGGUUCUGAGGGCCGGACAAAGACGAAGGGAAUGUGGCUCCUCUCUGGGGAAGUGUUAUAGCCCGGCGUGCAAUGCGGCCACUUGGGACCGAGGACCGCGCAUUUGCAA
rnacentral:rRNA from 1 species